GCAGUUUAUUCUCUUUUAAAAGGACUCCACGGUUUCCUACAAACUUUUUGUAAACUCUUCAUCUCCGGCUCAGCUCCUUUGUAAGCUGCGCCCAAUGGACUCUUUGAGAGACCCGCGAUGGCGGUCAAUGAGGACCUGUUAGAAUGGGUCACUAAUCCAAAAGAGUGGAGCAAUGCCUUUAAAGCCUUGUGCUGAGGCACUGGGAGCCCUGCCUGGAAAGAGAGAAUCGAAUCCCUCAAGAGAUGGAACAUUCAGUUUGAUACCUGAAAUAAAUGUUUUGAAGAAGCCCACCUUGUUUACAAGGGGGCCAUGGGACGACGUGGCAUUCAGUGGAGGCUUCCACUUCUUCAGACCUGCAUGGGGAAGAUUAACGUUGGGACUCCAUCCCCCGCCACUGUCACUCAGACUUGGAGUCAUUUUGCUCCUUCCGUAAGAUCUGCCCCAGUUAAAAAUAAGCAGAUGAGUCAACGCAGUGCCCACAAUGAUGAGAAAAUGGCAAACAGAGUGGUCUUAGUUGGGUGGAAGGGACAGGACACCCAACGUGGCACACUGCUCGCACAGUGCUUAGAACCACAGAAUCAUUAAGGCUGGAAACACCUCUAGGAUCACCGCAUCCAACCCGAACCCACCCCGCCAUGCCCACUGAUCACAUCCUUCAGUGCCACAUCCCCAUGGUUCUGGAACACCUCCAGGGUUGGGGACUCUGUAUCUCAUGGGAUCACGGUUCCUAGGUUGGAAAGACCAUCGAGCCCAAUACUUGCUCCCCUAAGCCUUGCAAAGGGAAUGUCACACCUCUUUCUGUAGCUUCUUCUCUCCAUGCCUUGCACCAGGUAGACCAUGAGCUCCUCUAGCUUUCUCCAGUUGUUCCUACUGAAAGCCUGGAUGAAAGAGCCAAAAGCAGCUGUCAGGCCUGUUAAAUCCUCUCAUCCUUCAUCACCCUGCAUUAACACUUAAUGGCGACUACAAGCAAGUGAUGAAAGAGAGACUGCUGAGGGCCCUCCAGUGACCCAUCACUGUGAGAUCAGAGUGGGGACAGACCCCAUGGUGAGGCUGGAACUUGAUCAUCUUUAAAGGUCCCUCCAACCCAACCAUUCAAUGAUGCUAUGGUUCUUUGAGUCUAUUAUUCCAUGACUAUUAUACAGUGAUCCUAUAAUUCUGUGAUUCUACAGUUCUAUAGUUCUGUGAUUCUAUGGCUCUAUGACUCUACCACUCUAUUAUUCCAUGGCUCUAUGACUCUACCACUCUAUGGUUCCAUGAUUCUAUGGCUCUAUGACUCUAUCACUCUAUGAUUCUAUGGCUCUAUGACUCUAUGACUCUAUGACUCUAUGGCUCUAUGAUUCUAUGGCUCUAUGAUUCUAUGACUAAGAUUCUAUGAUACUACGUCUCUAUGAUUCUACAAUGCUAUGAUUCUAUGCAUGGGUUCCCUCCAUCAUCCUUUACCCUUCUGCUCCAUCCCUCCUCCACUCACCUGAGCUGCCUCUUGCCCUGAAGUCUUGGCGAGAAACAUCCAUUUUAGAAAGGGAAAGGACAAAAAAUAAAGAGAAAGGAAAAAAAAUAGGAGGGCGGGUGCCAAUCUGGCUUGGGAGAAUGUGGUUUCGUGCCGCCCUUAUUAUCUGCUAAUUGGGAUUUUAACAAAGAUUGUCCUGUCACAUGCAGGUGGCCGGUGACAACGUGCCUGUGACUGAAGAGCAAUUCUUGACAUAAGGAGAGUCGAGGAGCUCGCUGGGAGCCAGCAAUCCCCGUCUGAUCUUCCGCGCGCCCGUCUGGCGCAGUGUGAAUAAUUAAUAGAUUAAUGAUACACCUCCCUGCUGCACACAGAGCACAACGGCAGCUCGGGCUGGAAGCUGCUGCCUUGCACAGACCUCCCCGUGUGCUGGGGAGCACCCUGCAUGCAGCAGCUCAGGGUGAGCUCUGAAGGAGAAGGUCCCGGUGUUGCAGACGUGUUGAUGGGAAGGGGUGAUCUAGCAGCAAGCAGAGCCCGUGCCAUGCAUCCAGAAGGAGCUGGAGGGGAGCACCAGCGGGGAGAAGGCAGCAGAUCUCCUGCAGGCUGCUUCACCCCCUCAGAGCUCCUCCAGGCGUCUCC
ensembl:lncRNA